GACGAACGCUGGCGGCGUGCUUAACACAUGCAAGUCGAACGGAAAGGCCCUGCUUUUGUGGGGUGCUCGAGUGGCGAACGGGUGAGUAACACGUGCGUAACCUGCCCUUGACUUUGGGAUAACUUCAGGAAACUGGGGCUAAUACCGGAUAGGAGCUCCUGCUGCAUGGUGGGGGUUGGAAAGUUUCGGCGGUUGGGGAUGGACUCGCGGCGUAUCAGCUUGUUGGUGGGGUAGUGGCUUACCAAGGCUUUGACGGGUAGCCGGCCUGGGAGGGUGGCCGGCGACAUGGGGACUGCGAUACGGCCCAGACUCCUACGGGAGGCAGCGGUGGGGAAUAUUGCACAAUGGGGGGAAGUGUGAUGCAGCAACGCCGCGUGCGGGAUGACGGCCUUCGGGUUGUAAACCGCUUUCGCCUGUGACGAAGCGUGAGUGACGGUAAUGGGUAAAGAAGCACCGGCUAACUACGUG
rnacentral:rRNA from 1 species